rnacentral:rRNA from 1 species
UACGUAGGGUGCGAGCGUUAAUCGGAAUUACUGGGCGUAAAGCGUGCGCAGGCGGUCCGUUGUGUCGGCGGUGAAAGCCCCGGGCUUAACCUGGGAAUGGCCGUCGAAACUGGCGAACUGGAGUGUGGCAGAGGGGGGUGGAAUUCCGCGUGUAGCAGUGAAAUGCGUAGAGAUGCGGAGGAACACCGAUGGCGAAGGCAGCCCCCUGGGCUGACACUGACGCUCAGGCACGAAAGCGUGGGGAGCAAACAGG